GUCCUCGUGGCGCAAUGGACUAGCGCACCGGACUUCUAGUGAACACGGCAAUGGUCGUGAAUGGCAUUCGGAGGUUGUGGGUUCGAGUCCCACCGAGGACG
rnacentral:tRNA from 1 species